UGGGGAAUCUUGCACAAUGGGCGAAAGCCUGAUGCAGCAACGCCGCGUGCGGGAAGAAGGCCCUAGGGUUGUAAACCGCUUUCAGUAGGGAAGAAAAUGACGGUACCUACAGAAGAAGGUGCGGCCAACUACGUGCCAGCAGCCGCGGUGACACGUAGGCACCAAGCGUUAUCCGGAUUUAUUGGGCGUAAAGAGCUCGUAGGCGGUUCGGUAAGUCGGGUGUGAAAACUCUGGGCUCAACCCAGAGAGGCCACCCGAUACUGCUGUGACUAGAGUGCGGUAGGGGAGCGGGGAAUUCCUGGUGUAGCGGUGAAAUGCGCAGAUAUCAGGAGGAACACCAGCGGCGAAGGCGCCGCUCUGGGCCGUAACUGACGCUGAGGAGCGAAAGCAUGGGUAGCAAACA
rnacentral:rRNA from 2 species